CCUACGGGCGGCAGCAGUGAGGAAUAUUGGUCAAUGGGCGUAAGCCUGAACCAGCCAAGUCGCGUGAGGGAUGAAGGUUCUAUGGAUCGUAAACCUCUUUUAUAAGGGAAUAAAGUGCGGGACGUGUCCCGUUUUGUAUGUACCUUAUGAAUAAGGAUCGGCUAACUCCGUGCCAGCAGCCGCGGUAAUACGGAGGAUCCGAGCGUUAUCCGGAUUUAUUGGGUUUAAAGGGUGCGUAGGCGGCCUUUUAAGUCAGCGGUGAAAGUCUGUGGCUCAACCAUAGAAUUGCCGUUGAAACUGGUAGGCUUGAGUAUGUUUGAGGCAGGCGGACUGCGUGUUGUAGCGGUGACAUGCUUAGAUAUCACGCAGAACCCCGAUUGCGAAGGCAGCCUGCCAAGCCAUGCCUGACGCUGAUGCACGAACGCGUGGGGAUCAAACAGGAUUAGAUACCCGUGUAGUC
rnacentral:rRNA from 1 species